AGUCACGCUACUUCCCAUCUUAGUUUUUUUGGGAAAAAAGGUUCUGAAGAGUUUGGAAGGACACGGUUUUCUUACCGUAGCUGUAUGAGCAUCAUCUCUGUGACUAACAGACUCGUGCACCCGUGCUGUUCGCUGUGGUUCAACCUCAUGGUGAGUUUUCAGAUGAAGCUGUUACUGCUGCUGCUGGCUCUGUCCUGGGCCAGUCUCCAGGACACGGUGGGGACCAGUUCACAGCCCAGAGAUGG